GACGAACGCUGGCGGCGUGCUUAACACAUGCAAGUCGAACGGAAAGGCCCUGCUUUUGUGGGGUGCUCGAGUGGCGAACGGGUGAGUAACACGUGAGUAACCUGCCCUUGACUUUGGGAUAACUUCAGGAAACUGGGGCUAAUACCGGAGAGGAGCGCCUGCUGCAGGGGGGGGGUUGGAAAGUUUCGGCGGUGGGGGAUGGACUCGCGGCUUAUCAGCUGGUUGGGGGGGGAGUGGCUUACCCAGGGUUAGACGGGUAGCCGGCGUGGGAGGGCGAACAGCGACCAUGGGACUGCGGGACGGACCAGUGUCGUACGGGGGGCAGCAGGGGGGAGUAUUGCACAGCGGGCCGGAGUCUGAUACAGCAGCGUUGCGUGCGGGAUGCCGGCCUUCGGGUGGUGAACCGCAUUCGCCUGUGACGAAGCGUGAGUGACGGUAAUGAGUGAAGAAGCACCGGCUAACUACGUG
rnacentral:rRNA from 1 species